ensembl:lncRNA
ACUAAGGUGAUGUGGGAAUCCAUUUUGUAUGUUUCCUUUUUCUGUGGUGAAUCCCUGAGAUAGAUGAGGCUUUAUGAACUACCAUCCCCCCUACAACCACUACCUUCACCACCAACAACCUUCCUAACUACUGAUUUAUAAUCUUGAGCCACAUUUUACCAAGAAAGGAGUGCUGGGUUUGAUUAAGAAUCAGGACUCGGGGAUCAGACUGCCUACACUCAACUCUUGGCUUUUCCACUAACUCCUUAUAUAUAUUUAGGUAAGUUACCUUAACUUUUCCAAGCCUCACCUUCUUCAGCUAUAAAGGAUGACAGUGUUGUUACGUGGACCAAAUAGAUUAAUUUCAUGAGUCAAUACAUGUAAAGUGUUUUGAGCUAUAUGUGGCACAGAAAAAGUACUCAAUAAACAUGAGUUAUUAUUGACCAAGAGCCAAUCAAUGAAUGAAUCAGUAAUUAUUGAUCAACUCCUGCGUGCCAGACACUAUGAGUGCUGAGAAGAGAAAGAGGCCAAGAUGAGCAAGGCAUAGCCCUGUUUUGCAUCAUGAGAUUUUGGUUUCUUAAAGACAGCUAUAAAACAUGCACACAAAGAAAUGUUACCCUAGACUGAAUAGCCUCAGAGACCUGGGGCUAGGAGCAUCUACAGGACGCCCCUAUGGACUACUCCGACAAUAGGAUCACCUUUGAGAUGUCUUCUCUACAAAGUCAAAUAUCUGUGUCUCCUAACGCCUCUUGGGACUUGUUGGUGAGAAUGACCCACAGGUCAGAGAAUGAUUUCUGACAAAGGGAUUACACAUUCCCCACACACCUCAUGAUGCACCUCUUUCUCUAGACUCCUCAGGGAACCAGGAGAAGAUGGCGGAAGAAGUCUACCAGUGACCUAGAAAGGUACACACAGCCCCAGAAGUCAGGGAAACCAAGGCUGCCAAUCCUGAAAGGAGAAGCAGCAACAUUGGAGCCGUCUCUCGCCUCCCACCCCAAGUUCAUCUAGCAGCCCUGCCCCACCCCCUCGAGCAGGCAGAUUUUCUCCCCGACACUUCUCUAUGCAUAGGUAUGUAUAACACAUUGGAAAAUUGGAUCACACUCUACCUAGAGGUCCGAGGCUUAUCUUCUCCCUUUAAACAUACGGGGCGCCUUUCACUGUCAAUUCACAGAGGUCUGCUGUAAUCUGUUGAAAAUAGUUUCACUGUAUUUCGUCAUAGGACAUAGCAGACAUACCACAAUACACCAAGCCAGUCUCCCACUCAUGAGCAGUAUAGCUGUCUCCAGCUUUUGGCUGUUGCCGGUGCUGCAGUGCACAUUUCUGCACACCCGAGCAGUCUUGUUUUGAACCCACCAACCACUGUGCUUCCUCACCAUGGCUUUUACUUAGGAAAGUACUAAACGGGAGUGCAUUUCUCCUGGGCUGGGGGACUCAGCUCUCCACGCCCAGUUUCAAGCUGCCCUGCAAGCCGGCGCCCCACGGGUUCUGAGCCAACGUCAGUGAGAAUGACCAUGCGUGAGAAUCCGGACCCCACAGAGUCACCAGCCUGGCCGGCCUCUCACCUCCUGUUCCGGGGAACGGAGGCACCUCUGCAUCAUUUUCUGUAAUGCCAAAGGAAAUCCCCAGAUAAGACGGACACCCUCAUGCUUCACAGGAGACACUCCCCCACUCCCACGGAGAUAAACUCAUGAAUGCUUUCUUAAUCACAGCUCAUGAUUCUCUGGGGCCCUCCCGGGGCUGCCAAAACCUCUCUCAGCCCAUUGCUGCUGCUACCGCAGCCAGACACAGCACUUCCUAGAAAAUCAUCAUCCCGUUUACUGUUUAUUCUUG